rnacentral:rRNA from 1 species
UGCAGGCGGUCUGUUAAGCAAGAUGUGAAAGCCCGGGGCUCAACCUCGGAACCGCAUUUUGAACUGGCAGACUAGAGUCUUGUAGAGGGGGGUAGAAUUUCAGGUGUAGCGGUGAAAUGCGUAGAGAUCUGAAGGAAUACCGGUGGCGAAGGCGGCCCCCUGGACAAAGACUGACGCUCAGAUGCGAAAGCGUGGGGRGSAAACAGGAUUAGAUACCCUGGUAGUCCACGCCGUAAACGAUGUCUACUUGAAGGUUGUGGCCUUGAGCCGUGGCUUUCGGAGCUAACGCGUUAAGUAGACCGCCUGGGGAGUACGGUCGCAAGAUUAAAACUCAAAUGAAUUGACGGGGGCCCGCACAAGCGGUGGAGCAUGUGGUUUAAUUCGAUGCAACGCGAAGAACCUUACCUACUCUUGACAUCCAGAGAAUUCGCUAGAGAUAGCUUAGUGCCUUCGGGAACUCUGAGACAGGUGCUGCAUGGCUGUCGUCAGCUCGUGUUGUGAAAUGUUGGGUUAAGUCCCGCAACGAGCGCAACCCUUAUCCUUGUUUGCCAGCACRUAAUGGUGGGAACUCCAGGGAGACUGCCGGUGAUAAACCGGAGGAAGGUGGGGACGACGUCAAGUCAUCAUGGCCCUUACGAGUAGGGCUACACACGUGCUACAAUGGCGUAUACAGAGGGCUGCCAACCAGCGAUGGUGAGCGAAUCCCACAAAGUACGUCGUAGUCCGGAUCG